rnacentral:rRNA from 1 species
GACGAACGCUGGCGGCGUGCUUAACACAUGCAAGUCGAACGGUAAGGCCCCUCGGGGUACACGAGUGGCGAACGGGUGAGUAACACGUGGGUGAUCUGCCCUGCACUUCGGGAUAAGCCUGGGAAACUGGGUCUAAUACCGGAUAGGACCACUGCCUGCAUGGGUGGUGGUGGAAAGCUUUUGCGGUGUGGGAUGGGCCCGCGGCCUAUCAGCUUGUUGGUGGGGUGAUGGCCUACCAAGGCGACGACGGGUAGCCGGCCUGAGAGGGUGACCGGCCACACUGGGACUGAGAUACGGCCCAGACGCCUACGGGAGGCAGCAGUGGGGAAUAUUGCACAAUGGGCGCAAGCCUGAUGCAGCGACGCCGCGUAAGGGAUGACGGCCUUCGGGUUGUAAACCUCUUUCAGCACCGACGAAGCGCAAGUGACGGUAGGUGCAGAAGAAGGACCGGCCAACUACGUGCCAGCAGCCGCCGUAA